rfam:Ovis aries breed Texel chromosome 3, whole genome shotgun sequence.
UCCCUGGUAGCUUGGAGGUUAAAGCAUCUGCCUGCAAUGCGGGAGACCUGGGUUCGAUCCCUGGGUUGGGAA